AACGCACAUUGCACUCUAUUAUUAUGGAGUAUACCUGUUUGAGGACCGGAACGUUCUCAUUGGGACUUGAUCGAUAGAUAAUCAAUCAUGUUCUUAAAAAGUGUCUCGCGAGUGGUGGGAAAAAUUAAUUAUUAAUUAAAGUCACUCGCACUACUCGCAUCUUCUUUGGUCUCAAACAGGUAAGGUUACCCGCUGAACUUAA
rnacentral:misc_RNA from 1 species